UGUGAGUUCAUUUCUCAAUGCAAAACGG
rnacentral:piRNA from 1 species